rnacentral:rRNA from 1 species
CCAGACUCCUACGGGAGGCAGCAGUGAGGAAUAUUGGUCAAUGGGCGCGAGCCUGAACCAGCCAAGUCGCGUGAGGGAAGACGGUCCUAUGGAUUGUAAACCUCUUUUGUCAGGGAGCAAAGGGCGCCACGUGUGGCGUUUUGCGAGUACCUGAAGAAAAAGCAUCGGCUAACUCCGUGCCAGCAGCCGCGGUAAUACGUAGGGAGCAAGCGUUAUCCGGAUUUAUUGGGUGUAAAGGGUGCGUAGACGGGAAUUUAAGUUAGUUGUGAAAUCCCUCGGCUUAACUGAGGAACUGCAACUAAAACUGAAUUUCUUGAGUGCGGGAGAGGAAAGUGGAAUUCCUAGUGUAGCGGUGAAAUGCGUAGAUAUUAGGAGGAACACCAGUGGCGAAGGCGACUUUCUGGACCGUAACUGACGUUGAGGCACGAAAGUGUGGGGAGCAAACAGGAUUAGAUACCCCGGUAAA